rnacentral:rRNA from 1 species
UACAGAGGGGGCAAGCGUUAUCCGGAAUUAUUGGGCGUAAAGAGCUCGUAGGCGGUCUGUCACGUCGGCUGUGAAAACCCGAGGCUCAACCUCGGGCCUGCAGUCGAUACGGGCAAACUAGAGUACUGCAGGGGAGACUGGAAUUCCUGGUGUAGCGGUGAAAUGCGCAGAUAUCAGGAGGAACACCGGUGGCGAAGGCGGGUCUCUGGGCAGUAACUGACGCUGGAGGAGCGAAAAGCCGUGGGGAGCGAACAGG